rnacentral:rRNA from 1 species
UACGUAGGGUGCGAGCGUUAAUCGGAAUUACUGGGCGUAAAGUGUGCGCAGGCGGCUUCGCAAGUCGAGUGUGAAAUCCCCGGGCUCAACCUGGGAACUGCAUUUGUGACUGCAUGGCUAGAGUACGGUAGAGGGGGAUGGAAUUCCGCGUGUAGCAGUGAAAUGCGUAGAUAUGCGGAGGAACACCUGUGGCGAAAGCGGCUCACUGGACCAUAACUGACGCUGAUGCACGAAAGCUAGGGGAGCAAACAGG